AGUGAACGCUGGCGGCAGGCCUAAUACAUGCAAGUCGAACGGCAGCACAGCAGAGCUUGCUCUGUGGGUGGCGAGUGGCGGACGGGUGAGGAAUACAUGGGAAUCUGCCCAGUCGUGGGGGAUAACGUAUGGAAACGUACGCUAAUACCGCAUGCGCCCUACGGGGGAAAGCCGGGGACCGAAAGGCCUGGCGCGAUUGGAUGAGCCCAUGUUCGAUUAGCUAGUUGACGGGGUAAAGGCCCACCAAGGCGACGAUCGAUAGCUGGUCUGAGAGGAUGAUCAGCCACACUGGAACUGAGACACGGUCCAGACUCCUACGGGAGGCAGCAGUAGGGAAUAUUGGACAAUGAGGGCAACCCUGAUCCAGCCAUGCCGCGUGAGUGAAGAAGGCCCUCGGGUUGUAAAGCUCUUUUGUCCGGAAAGAAAAGCAUUCGGUUAAUACCCGGGUGUUCUGACGGUACCGGAAGAAUAAGCACCGGCUAA
rnacentral:rRNA from 1 species